UUAAAACAAACUCAACCCCAAAACCUCAUAAAAAAAGCCCAAAACACUCAAUAGGGCACAAACUCAGAUUUUCCUAUGACUUUAGGGUUUGUUUUUUCUUCUAUUUAAGCCAACUCUUAUAUUUGACAGUUUAUUCAUAGAGCCGAGAUUUUCUCUUCCUUUUCUGUUCGUCUCCUCUUCUUAUUACCCUAACUAAGCCAAGCACUGCCAUAACCCUCCAUCUUCUUCUCUAUAUCCAUGGAGCGUACGGAGCUUGCUGUUGAGAACAACGAUCUGCCUCGUGAUCUUGUGUCGAAGAGAACAGCGAUCUGGGAUUCUCUGAGGUUGCUUUCGAUAUAAACAAGAAGGUGGAUAAGCUUAUCUCGUUGAUGGUAGGCGGGAAUUCGCUUUCCCCUCCAUUGCAGGAGCCACCAACUGACUGUGAAAUUAGCAAUAUGGAGCUGUUCGAGAUUCUUUGGAAGGCGAGUGGGAAGCUUGAGGUACUAUUAUUGCUCAUGUCGAGCAAGGAGUGAAGGCAUAACCCUAAGUUCCAAAGCCUUAUUAUCACCCUUUAAACUUCUGCGUUUCUUAUUUUAGACUUUAGCAGUAUAAACUUCUGGUAUUCCAUUAUUUCUUAUUAGAAAUAUGUUAAGACUUUCCAUGGGUUGUAUAAAUUUGAUAGUUUGUGUUUUGUGGAAUUGUUUGGAAAAUGCCAGGUCUCCUUAUUUUAGACUUUUAUACAACCUAAUGAGAGAAAGGGUGGUUCUUCGAGAC